rnacentral:lncRNA from 13 species
CCCAGGGCUAACCUGGGUAUGUUACUAACAUUAGUGCUCCUAACCCCAGGCCAAGCUGGGUAUGUUACUAUCAUUAGUGCUCCUAACCCCAGGGCUAACCUGGGUAUGUUACUAACAUUAGUGCUCCUAACCCCAGGCUAACCUGGGUAUGUUACUAACAUUAGUGCUGCUAACCCCAGGGCUAACCUGGGUAUUUUACUAGCAUUAGUGCUGCUAACCCCAGGGCUAACUUGGGUAUGUUACUAACAUUAGUGCUGCUAACCCC